UGGUUGAUUCUAGUUGAUCAUUUCUAUAGACCAAUAUUGAUAUAGAAGGAAGUUCCUUCUUCUAAAUUAGAGCACCAAGCGAUAGUUGAAAUAUUUAUCGAGGUAUGUACAUGUUUCUUAGACUAAAAUAAGUAAUCGAUUAAAUGUUUUUAGCAUGUAACGCUAGGUGGUCAAGGUGGCUCUUAUGAGAAGCAAGGGGUAAAUACGUUCAUAAGACCCACACACCUUGACUAAAAGGUCGCAUAUGGUUUACUUAUGUUAUCAUGAUCAUGGUCUUCCUGAGAGCUUUUUUGCAAAAUUGCCUUCUUAUAUAAGUAAUAAAUUUUCAACAGUAUGAGCAGCUCUAACCUUAAAAAAAAAACACCUGGGAUUUCAUUGGUUAUCGAGGAAGCUAGAAUAGGUUCGCGUCCCAAUAUCACAACGGCGUUGAUCGCGUAAAGUCGCGGUCCCGGUGAGCCAGCGUGGGAACCGGCAUCGGAGAGCUCGUUUCUGCGGUCACCUCCCCCGCGGCAGGUCACGACUCACGGGGAGUACACGCGGACCCCACGACCCCGCGCCGCUCUCGAGAACGGCCGCGCUCAGAGAUGAUGCAUCUGUGUUAUGGAUUAAGGAUUGUUAAGAGAGAAAGGAAGUGAUACCACCACCGUGGGGAAAAACGUACGCCAUAACGAGGAGAUGCAGGUAACAGAGAAAUCAUGAUGAUUCUGACAGGAGAAUAGAUUUACAAGGGCCUUUCUGUUACAAUGAAUCUGAAUAAAUAUGAGUUUUUGUUUGGAGGUUGUUGAUUUUUUCCAGUCUCUAUUCAUGAUUUUCACAGGCUAUACUUCGGGUACACCUUGAAAUAAUGUUCAAUGUACUCGUAUUGUAGAUCGUCCUUCAGAGAACGUACAUGGAAAUUGCCAUAAAAUUUUUCUAAAUUACCAUGAAAUCUCGAAAGCAAUAAAUUUAAUCUAAGAUUUAUAUUGCCGAAACGUGUAACUGAAAUAAUUCAAAAGAUAAAAAGCAAAGUAGUUAUACCAUUACAUAUUUCAGUGCUGAUAAAAAGACGUUGAAAAUUUUAUUAUUUCCGAGAACUAAGAAAUAAUCUAACUUUUAACAUUCUAAAUAAGAAUUGAAAAAAAAAAUUGUCCGAUUUAUUCCAAAUCAAAAUCGAAAUGUUUUACCGGAGCGAGCAUGAAGAAAGCAGUAUAAUAGUAGCGGUCAGUUAGGGAAGUUUGGUAUGUCCCACCAUCACCACGUAUGGAUCGAUGGAUAUAGAGAGGAUGAGUUCACAAGAUGCCUGAACCCAAUAUUCUCUUUUAGAAACACUGAAGACGAUAUUCGAAGACUUGCCGAAACGUUAGAAAUCACACACCAAAGAGAUGAGGAAAACAGAGCAAAUAAUUAUCCAGCAAGUAUUCUCACCCUUCUUAAGAAAAAAUUGACAAAAACAAAAGGAUUCAGAAUAUUCCCUCUUCACCAUUCAGAAUGAAUAAUACUUGUGUUUCUGGGUUGGAUAGUGGGAAACUUUUCUUGGGGGCAUAAAUUAUAGUAUUUGUUUCGAUAAUUGCAACACUGUAUAUGUUGUUUUUCAAACACGCCAAUGUUGAAACUAUGAAAACUUUGUUUAUCAAAACAUUAUGAGUGUACGAGUAUAUGCUCUAUCAGCAUUAACGAAUGUUAUUAUUUCAUGUUGGUUUUGAAAGAAACUUACUUGCUUGUUAUAUCGUUUACGAUAGCUUUUUCAUGUUAAUGCCAGUUCCAGGGUAGAACUGAGAUAUAGUUAGAGAAUUUAACUGAAAUUUGGUUUGAACAAGAUUGUUUAUUAUUUUUGAUUAUU